UGAUGAUGCUGCUGAUGCUGGUGGUGACGCCGAUGGUGCGAGCUGGAAAUGGGGUGCUACGUCAUCGUUGUCAUCAUCAUCAUCAUCAUCUGAG
rnacentral:pre_miRNA from 1 species